GAUUAACGCUGGCGGCGUGCAUAACACAUGCAAGUCGAACGAUGAAACUUAGUCGACUUCUUCGGAAAGACACUAAGCGGAUUAGUGGCGAACGGGUGAGUAACGCGUGAAUAACCUGCCUUACACAAGGGGAUAGCCUUUGGAAACGAAGAAUAAUACCCUAUAAAACCAUAAAAGCACAUGCUAGAAUGGUCAAAGUGAUAGCGGUGUAAGAUGGACUUGCGUCUGAUUAGCUAGUUGGUGAGAUAAAAGCUCACCAAGGCAACGAUCAGUAGCCGGCUUGAGAGAGUGUACGGCCACAUUGGGACUGAGACACGGCCCAGACUCCUACGGGAGGCAGCAGUGGGGAAUUUUGCACAAUGGGGGAAACCCUGAUGCAGCGACGCCGCGUGAUUUAGAAGGCCUUCGGGUUGUAAAAAUCUUUUGUAUAGGAAGAAAAUGACAGUACUAUACGAAUAAGGUCCGGCUAAUUACGUG
rnacentral:rRNA from 1 species